rnacentral:hammerhead_ribozyme from 1 species
GCAUUGCUGAAGAGUCCCACAAUAGGACGAACCAACCGUCCAGUGC